rnacentral:rRNA from 1 species
CUUUUGUUGUACAGGGAGUGGGAGUAUCGGGGAUAGGAUAUGUGCAUCGAGCAGAGGGGUCUGGUGUUCACUUCAGGUUUCUUGCCUCAGUCGGAUCAAUUCUGGAGUCCUUGAUCUCCUCGUCCUUCAUCAACAGCUUUACGUGGGAAGAGCACAAUGAUGAAUUUUACGGAGGAUGCUCCUGUAAAGAAAGGCUCUGUUCUCUUAACAAGGAUGGAAAGUAUAACGGCAUACAAAAACCAACGUGGACAACCCAAAUUUGCAACUCCAGAACAAUCUGACAUUCCAGUGUCUGCUAAUGACAUGUGUUCCCUUGCUGAAUGGCCAUCCCAUGCUCGCCGCAACUGUGCGCGACUACAGGAUGAAGCUGGUGGACAGAAGAAGAAAGGGCGAGGUGUUCUAAAAGGUUUUAAAGCUAAAUAUUACAUUCUCUGAAAAAUUGGGUGGUACAGUAGGAAUGAACUAUCGCUCGUUCAAGGAUGACGUGGUUGUCAUAAUGAAAAGAAAGUUACCACUCAUUGGAGUGAGGACGUGGUCGGACAUUCACCCUACCAUUCAUCGACUCAUUGUUGCAGAUAUAAUAGACAGAUGGGACCUGGAAGAUACACUAGAAACAGAAGAAAAAGUUUUCAAAAUUGCGAAAGAGAGAUAUAGAGGCUGGCGAUCAACUCUAAGCUCCACUUACAAGGAAUACAAAACAGAUGCAACUAGAUUGGCUAAUCUGCCUGAAGAUUUACAACCAGAAGAGUGGGAAUGGAUGAUUGAGUACUUUGGCACUGAUUCAAAAUUUCAGGAACGCAGCCAAAAGAACGCUGAUAACCGUAAGAAACAGAAGACAAAACAUAUAAUCGGAUCAAAAUCUUACUCACAAGUUAGUUUCGAGAAGAGAAACUUAGAAACUGGAGAAGAGCCAGAUUGUAUUACUCUAUGGGAAUUCACCCAUACAAACAAUGGAACAUGGUCUAACACAGAUUCCCAGAAAGUUUACGACCAAGCACUUGAAGAGGUUAAAAACAAAGAAGCUGAAACUGAAGGUCCACUUUCAAGUGAGCAGAAAAACAAUGUUUUCCAGACUGCUUACAAAGACACUCUGGAAUGCAAGUCAUCGCAGCCUCGUGGGUACGGAUACAUGGCCAAAACUUCAACUGGUUCUGAAAAGUUCCGUAUCCAGAUUGAAGAGCAAGCUCGUGCUACAGCAGCCACCCAGGAGCGAAACUCUCAGCUCAGCCAGCAGGUCAAUGAUUUAGAAGAUCAACUACAAGCUGAACGUGCUAACACACAAGAGAGGAUUAACUUGGAGCGUGCUGAGAGAGAACAACUUGAGGAGAGGUUAAAACAAGAGCGUGCUGAAAGGGAAAGAUUGUUGCAAGAGGAGCGAACAUCAAGACUGGAAUUUGAAAAAACAUGAUGGCAAAGUUUGUAGAAUUGAGCAAACAGAUGGAAACCCAACAGGUUCCUACGAAGAGGGUUGACAAAGAAAAUAGUAAUCCAAACUUGCAAAAUAUUCUUUCACAGACAUCUAGUCCUAAUAAGACUCCAGAUUCAAGGCCGACUGCUAUUUCUUCAAAUGCGCUCAUACAAGCUGCAGCAAGGCAAUCUCGAAUGUAUAAAGCAAUGGAUCCAAAGAACUAGCUGGACUGGACUCUAGAUCACAGGCAGUUUAGUCUUCGAAGUUAAUUAGGAUGGCUAAAUUACAUUUGAGUUUUAUUUGAUGGAUAUUUUCUGUCAGAAGUAUGAAUUGUAUGAAUCUACAUAUUAUAUAUAUGGUUUUGAAUAUUGUAAUUAAAACCCUGUAAUUUUUUUUAUGAUUGCAAUAGACUAUUACCACAACCCAUUUUUGGUUGCCA